AGCGAAGCGGAAGUGAAACGAAAGCGAAAGUAAAAAACAGCCCUGGUGGCCAUUUUGUUUCUCACCUCCUUCAGGGCCGGUGCACAAUGAACUUGCCUUCCAACCUCCCAUCUCCAAUCAUCCCGCCCCGGAAUAUUGGUGUUCCAUUGCUUAUUUUGAGAUGGACGUUCAGGUUGGAGAGACGUUUAAGGUCCCUUCCAGUUGUCCCGUGGUUACGGUGGACGGUUACGUGGAUCCUUCAGGGGGGGAUCGGUUCUGUUUGGGCCAACUUUCCAAUGUUCAUCGGACCGAAGCCAUCGAGAGAGCGCGGUUGCACAUCGGGAAAGGGGUGCAGCUGGAGUGCAAAGGGGAAGGGGACGUGUGGGUGAGGUGCCUGAGCGAUCACGCCGUGUUCGUGCAAAGUUAUUACCUGGACAGGGAAGCGGGCCGGGCACCGGGAGACGCCGUGCACAAGAUUUAUCCCAGCGCCUACAUUAAGGUGGG